rnacentral:rRNA from 1 species
CCUACGGGUGGCAGCAGUGGGGAAUAUUGGUCAAUGGGCUUAACCCUGAACCAGCCAAGUCGCGUGAGGGAGGACUUCCCUCUGGAUUUUAAACCUCUUUUGUCGGGGAGCAACUCCGGCUACGUGUCGCCGGACUGAGAGUACAUUACGAACAAGCAUCGGCUGAAUCCGUUCCAGCAGCCGCGGUAAUACGGGGGAUUAGAGCGUUAUCGGGAUUUAUUGGGUUAAAGGGUUUCGUAGGAGGAAUGCAAAUUCAGCUGUAAAAUCGCGGGGCUAAACCUCGCUCCGCAGUUGAAACUGGUGUUCUAGAGUGGGCGAGAAGCAUGCGGAAUGCGUGGUGUAGCGGUGAAAUGCAUAGAUAUCACGAAGAACUCCGAUUGCGAAGGCAGCAUACUGGAGGAUAACUGACGUUGAAGCACGAAAGCGUGGGUAUCGAACAGGAUUAGAUACCCUUGUAGUC